rnacentral:rRNA from 1 species
UACAGAGGGGGCAAGCGUUAUUCGGAAUUAUUGGGCGUAAAGGGCGCGUAGGCGGCUUUGCAAGUGGCGGGUGAAAUCCCUCGGCUUAACCUGACGGAAGACUGCCUGCCAGACUGUGAGGCUUGAGACCGGGAGAGGUGAGUGGAAUUCCCAGUGUAGCGGUGAAAUGCGUAGAUAUUGGGAGGAACACCAGUGGCGAAGGCGGCUCACUGGACCGGAACUGACGCUGAGGCGCGAAAGCGUGGGGAGCAAACAGG